rnacentral:rRNA from 1 species
UCGAGAAUAAUUCACAAUGGGGGCAACCCUGAUGGUGCAACGCCGCGUGGAGGAUGACGGUCUUCGGAUUGUAAACUCCUGUCAUCCGGGAGAAAGACCUGGCUGUGAAUAGCAGACAGGGUUGAUAGUACCGGAAGAGGAAGGGACGGCUAACUUCGUGCCAGCAGCCGCGGUAAUACGAAGGUCCCAAGCGUUGUUCGGAAUCACUGGGCGUAAAGGGUGCGUAGGCGGUUUGGUAAGUCAGAUGUGAAAUCCCGGGGCUCAACCCCGGAACUGCAUCCGAUACUGCCGGACUAGAGGACUGGAGAGGUGACUGGAAUUCUCGGUGUAGCAGUGAAAUGCGUAGAGAUCGAGAGGAACACUCGUGGCGUAAGCGAGUCACUGGACAGUAUCUGACGCUGAGGCACGAAGGCCAGGGUAGCGAAAG